rnacentral:tRNA from 1 species
AGGAUAAUAGUUUAACUAAAACAUUUUAAUUGCAAUAAAAAAAUAUUGAUAUUCCAAUUUAUCUUA